AAGGACUUAAGGUUAAGGUUUAAAGUUAAAAUACCUUAAUGAUGGAUUUGUUUCUUACAGGUACAUAACUGUUCACUUUACAAAAUGUUAACUGAUGGACUGGAGUGGUGUGGAUUACUGUGAUAUUUUUAUCAGCUGUUUGGACUCUCAUUCUGACGGCACCCAUUCACUGCAGAGGAUCCAUUGUGCUGUAUGGAUUGCAUUGUAAAAGGAUCCAUCUGUACUCAGGCUGGAGGAGGAGAGAAGAGGCUCAAGGGAAUGCUCUGCAGCCAUAUGUCCUCCUUACUGGCCCCCAUUAGACCUGACAGGUGAUAUAUGGUGCACACAGGAAAAACAAACUACUCAGCAAAAGCCGGCAGACAUUGAUAAACGAAGGCAUGGUGACACAGAUACUGUGGGCUCAUCGUGGCCGAGCUUGGGGAUUUCUCCUGCAAAAUGCCACUUCAAUUUCUGUCCACAGUAUCCAACCCAAUUAGGGCAGAAGAUUCACAAUGUAGUGUCUAUUUAAACACACAUCAACAUCCCAAAGUCCACUUCCAAGAUGUUUGAUCUAUUUUAUCCCACUAGAUUAUUCCUUUCCAAGGUCAUUUGUAUGCAUGAAAUUAAAAUGAUCUCAAAAUAUAUCUCUCCCUCUCUGCUAGAAUCAUCCACCUUUUUAUCUUGAUCUUGGAGUGGUUAAAUAUCACAAAGACAUGUUCAGGUCACAUUUCAUACCUAUAAAUAAAUAAAUAUUCACAAUAUGCUGUGUAUACAGAAAAUUAGGCCUAGUUAAAGGAUCUAAUAUUAUUUAUAGAGUGACUUCAAGCACAUUUCAUCCCAAAUUCUAAUUGUUCUCAAUACAUUCUUAUUACUGUAAUACAAAAUAAAAAUGACAAAAUACAAUGAUUAAAACAAACAAAUAAAUAAAUAAAUAGAAUGAGUUCCCUUUAGAAUGGGAAUUCGCAUGGCGUCUGACAAGAUGUGACACUGUCAUUGGUCAAUGACAGUCUGUAAUGUCAGUACCAGGCUGACAGUCAGUUUAAAUGAGUGCGUGCAGCACGCAAUUAGCCUUUUUUUUUUUCAGAAAACAUGUAUGCGUGUGACAAACGCUACUGGUGGAGCACGUUCAACUUCUUGAGGAAGCUAAGUGCUAACUAUUGUAAUAAAAACUGCUAAGAAGCUUUUGUUCUUCCUUGAUUCUCACCCGAGGGAUAGUAGUCAGCAUUUGCACUUGCACGUUUGGUUCUCAAAGCGAUGUAUUCAUGGCAGCAGAUUCUGUUCUCGCCUUGUUUUUGGGAGAACCUAGCAAUUAAAUGGAGGGAAUUCGGCUCUCUCUCGAGAGUUGAAUGCAUGCUGUAUGAUACGAUUGCUGUGAGAAGCUCCACCUAUGCUUAACUUUCUCUUGGGGGGUUGAGACUUCAGCGCCUCCUUCCCAAAGUUCGAGACCCACUGUCACCAGAGGAGAGAUAAAAAAACAGGGAUUGUAGGUGGAGCAGAGGAGGAGUAGGACGGGAAGUGCUUUCCCUUUCAGAACUCUUCCUGUUAACUUGAAUUCUUUCAUAUCGAUUUAUUAAAGAAGGAAAGAAACUUUGUAAUUUUGAAUAUCUAAUUCUGAGGCAUUAGAUGCAGAAAGAGUUGAAGCAUAUAUUAUUGAUAAAUUAGCCCCCUCUAUGAAAGUAAAAGAAACCGACUUGGGCAAGCUGCUGGAUCCAGAUGUUCUUUCUUUGACAUGCUCUACUGGCGUCAACCCAGAAGGAGCGGGAUGUGGCUGAGGAGGGCAAAGAAACAAUGGACUCCUCCCAACCAGCCCAUCCCGCUUAUAAGUAGCGGUUUCUGUCUGUACAAAACCACCCUGUUACCAUGAGUCUGAGUUGGAGAGAUCAUAAAAUAAACUAUAUUUGGCCCACAUUCAUUUGUUUCCUCGAACAGAAAUUAUAUGAAUGUACAAGGAAUAUUUGAGGACAGAUAUGAGUUAAUGCCCCCAAUUGAAGAUAAGUUUGCAAACUAUCUCUCAAUGGCAGAGGCAUCAUCAUUGAAGACUCAGACCCUGUCAUCCAAACCUUACCAUGUAACAUCCCGUGUGAAUUGCAACUGGUCAGACCAGUGGGGUCUUACACAUAAUGGCUGUGUUACAGGCAUACCAGGCUGAUCUGCUGAAAGAACUGGUUUAGGGUCCAGGUCUGACAGUGGCCGAGCUAUGCCACACCAAAGACCUCGCUCUCUGAGCCACUAAACAGACAGACAUAGAUGGUAGCGAUGGUGGCCAUGGAGAGACAUCUGUGGCUGAACCUGG
ensembl:lncRNA